AUGGUAUGAUGGUGCUUCUGUUUUUAGGAUUCCAAGCAUAAAAGAACGGAUAGAUCAAUUUUAUGUUGUUUACGGAAAGGAGAAUCUGGACAGUCAUGGCCAAGGUUAACAAAAGAAAGGGCGAAGCUUAACUGGCUUAGUGUGGACUUUAAUAAUUGGAAAGACUGGGAAGACGAUUCAGAUGAAGACAUGUCUAAUUUUGAUCGUU